AUCGAAAUAGCUCAGUUGGAAGAGCGUUAGACUAUAGAUUGACAAGUCCCUGGUUCAGUCCCCGAUUCUGGCA
rnacentral:tRNA from 1 species